GACUCCACUCCGUAGUCUAAGGGAAAAUUUGCAAUGGUAUGACGGCGGAGUGGCCGGGUUCAAAUCCCGUUGUUCCGCCGUCAUCGGGGUGAUUGGUCGUCACGUCUCGAACCUAGCCGGCAACCCGGAUACGGAGGGGAGUCUUU
rnacentral:ncRNA from 1 species